UAGCAUAUCAAUAAGCGGAGGAAAAGAAACCAACAGGGAUUGCCCUAGUAACGGCGAGUGAAGCGGCAACAGCUCAAAUUUGAAAUCUGGCUCUUUCAGAGCCCGAGUUGUAAUUUGCAGAGGGCGCUUUGGCGUUGGCAGCGGUCCAAGUUCUUUGGAACAGGACGUCACAGAGGGUGAGAAUCCCGUACGUGGUCGCUAUCCUUCGCCGUGUAAAGCCCCUUCGACGAGUCGAGUUGUUUGGGAAUGCAGCUCUAAAUGGGAGGUAAAUUUCUUCUAAAGCUAAAUACUGGCCAGAGACCGAUAGCGCACAAGUAGAGUGAUCGAAAGAUGAAAAGCACUUUGGAAAGAGAGUCAAAUAGCACGUGAAAUUGUUGAAAGGGAAGCGCUUGCAGCCAGACUUGCCUGUAGUUGCUUAUCCGGACUUUUGUCCGGUGCACUCUUCUGCGGGCAGGCCAGCAUCAGUUUGGGCGGUUAGAUAAAGGUCUCUGUCACGUACCUCUCUUCGGGGAGGCCUUAUAGGGGAGACGACAUGUAACCAGCCUGGACUGAGGUCCGCGCAUCUGCUAGGAUGCUGGCGUAAUGGCUGUAAGCGGCCCGUCUUGAAACACGGACCAAGGAGUCUAACAUCUAUGCGAGUGUUUGGGUGUCAAGCCCAGACGCGUAAUGAAAGUGAACGGAGGUAGGAACCCUUUUGGGUGCACUAUCGACCGAUCCUGAUGUCUUCGGAAGGAUUUGAGUAAGAGCAUGGCUGUUGGGACCCGAAAGAUGGUGAACUAUGCUUGAAUAGGGUGAAGCCAGAGGAAACUCUGGUGGAGGCUCGCAGCGGUUCUGACGUGCAAAUCGAUCGUCAAAUUUGGGCAUAGGGGCGAAAGACUAAUCGAACUAUCUAGUAGCUGGUUCCUGCCGA
rnacentral:rRNA from 2 species